CCCUUAGAUGUCCGGGGCCGCACGCGCGCUACAAUGGAUGAAUCAACGCGUCAUCCUGGCCCGAAAGGGUUGGGGAACCGCUGAACCUCAUCCGUGGUUGGGAUUGGGGUUUGUAAUUAUUCCCCAUGAACUAGGAAUUCCCAGUAGGCGCGAGUCAUAAGCUCGCGUUGAUUACGUCCCUGCCCUUUGUACACACCGCCCGUCGCUACUACCGAUUGGAUGGUUUAGUGAGAUCCUCGGAUUGGUCACGGCACGGUGGCAACACUGCGUCGGUGUGCCGAGAAGACGAUCAAACUUGAUCAUCUAGAGGAAGUAAAAGUCGUAACA
rnacentral:rRNA from 1 species